rnacentral:sRNA from 1 species
GUUUUCGAGACUGUUUCUCUUGUUUUGUUGUCGGAUUUGCGUUUGUGGAACUCGAUUC